UACGUAGGGCGCAAGCGUUGUCCGGAAUUAUUGGGCGUAAAGAGCUCGUAGGCGGUUUGUCGCGUCGACUGUGAAAUCCCGCGGCUCAACUGCGGGUCUGCAGUCGAUACGGGCAGGCUAGAGUUCGGUAGGGGAGACUGGAAUUCCUGGUGUAGCGGUGAAAUGCGCAGAUAUCAGGAGGAACACCGAUGGCGAAGGCAGGUCUCUGGGCCGAUACUGACGCUGAGGAGCGAAAGCGUGGGGAGCGAACAGG
rnacentral:rRNA from 1 species